rnacentral:rRNA from 1 species
UACGUAGGGGGCAAGCGUUGUCCGGAAUCAUUGGGCGUAAAGAGCGCGUAGGCGGCCCUGUAAGUCCGCUGUGGAAGUCAAGGGCUCAACCCUUGGAUGCCGGUGGAUACUGCAGGGCUAGAGUCCGGAAGAGGCGAGUGGAAUUCCUGGUGUAGCGGUGAAAUGCGCAGAUAUCAGGAGGAACACCGAUGGCGAAGGCAGCUCGCUGGGACGGUACUGACGCUGAGGCGCGAAAGCGUGGGGAGCGAACAGG